CUGAAAAUUAUGGAAACAGUUAAUGUAAAAAAAGGAAACAUAUACAUACAUAGAAGGAUAUAAUACACCAUACAUCAUAGAUUCCAGGGAAAUAUCCAUCCAGGAAUUAAGGAGCUCCACUACACGAUUUGUCUGUCUGUCUGCCAUGCAUGUGUGCAGGCUCAGCUCUCUGUCAGAAAGUUGUGCAAGUGGUUUGUAUAUGCCAUUUUUUGCCAUUCGAUUUUCAAUUCUCUACAAUUUGGAUUUUAGUCAAUAGACUAAAG